UACGAAGGGGGCUAGCGUUGCUCGGAAUCACUGGGCGUAAAGCGCACGUAGGCGGACUCUUAAGUCGGUGGUGAAAGCCCGGGGCUCAACCCCGGAAUAGCCUUUGAGACUGCAUCGCUAGAAUUGUGGAGAGGUAAGUGGAAUUCCGAGUGUAGAGGUGAAAUUCGUAGAUAUUCGGAAGAACACCAGUGGCGAAGGCGGCUCACUGGACUGGUAUUGACGCUGAGGUGCGAAAGCGUGGGGAGCAAACAGG
rnacentral:rRNA from 1 species